CGCUGGCGGCGUGCUUAACACAUGCAAGUCGAGCGGAAAGGCCCUUUCGGGGGUACUCGAGCGGCGAACGGGUGAGUAACACGUGAGUAAUCUGCCCUUGGCUUUGGGAUAACUACCGGAAACGGUGGCUAAUACCGGAUACGACCACUCCUUGCAUGAGGUGGUGGUGGAAAGUUUUUUCGGCCAGGGAUGUGCUCGCGGCCUAUCAGCUUGUUGGUGGGGUAAUGGCCUACCAAGGCUUCGACGGGUAGCCGGCCUGAGAGGGUGACCGGCCACACUGGGACUGAGACACGGCCCAGACUCCUACGGGAGGCAGCAGUGGGGAAUAUUGGACAAUGGGCGGAAGCCUGAUCCAGCAACGCCGCGUGAGGGAUGACGGCCUUCGGGUUGUAAACCUCUUUCAGUACCGACGAAGCGCCGAUGAUGGUGGUGACGGUAGGUACAGAAGAAGCACCGGCCAACUACGUG
rnacentral:rRNA from 1 species